GCUACGGGAGGCUGCAGUGAGGAAUAUUGGUCAAUGGGCGCGAGCCUGAACCAGCCAAGUCGCGUGAGGGAAGACGGUCCUAUGGAUUGUAAACCUCUUUUGUAGGGGAGCAAAAGACGCCACGCGUGGCGUUCCGAGAGUACCCGAAGAAAAAGCAGCGGCUAACACCGUGUCAGCAGCCGCGGUAAUACGGAGGAUGCGAGUGUUAUCCGGAUUUAUUGGGUUUAAAGGGUGCGUAGGCGGUCGGAUAAGUUAGAGGUGAAAUCCCGAGGCUCAACUUCGGAAUUGACUCGGAUACUGUGCAGCUAGAGAGUAGUUGCGGUAGGCGGAAUGUAUGGUGUAGCGGUGAAAUGCUUAGAGAUCAUACAGAACACCGAUUGCGAAGGCAGCUUACCAGGCUACUUCUGACGUUGAGGCACGAAAGCGUGGGGAGCAAACAGGAUUAGAUACCCUAGUAGUC
rnacentral:rRNA from 1 species